rnacentral:lncRNA from 1 species
GACAUUUGAGUCAGAAGAACUCUGUGAGCAACAGAAAUCACUACCAACAAAGCCCAAGGCAGACAUGCAAGACAGAAAGGCUCAGAAAUCCCCCUUAUCACUUUGGAAAGCCAAAAGUGAGCCAGAGACAUCAGAUGUCGACAAAGUGGACGACAUAAGGAAGAAGGUCUUUCUUCCACCAGGAAAAGCAACAGACAAAAAUAAAAUAUGAGGAACAACCCAGCAUCCUUCAGAGAAUCCCAGGAUCAAAGAACUACACAGAACAAUACGGAGGAACUAGAGAAAAGUCAGAUGAGGAUGUAGGACAGGGGCUCUUUUUUUCUGAAGUCGAUGCCAGAUGAAGCUCUGAAGGAUUAGAAGACUUUCCCUACAUUUGCUUUGGACAGAUUUGAAAACUAGGUACAGCCUUUCUGUUCACUAAAAUCUCUCAAACCUUUAUA